GUCAGAAGAACCAAAACCCUGCAACGUUGUCUGAAAGUAAAGAACAGUGUCUGGAGCUGUCUUCACCUGCAAUGUAAGACAAGAGCAAGAAGGCUGAGUGUUAAAAUCACGAUCAGUCACAACCCUUGUUGGGCCAAUAACCGAAAGGUUGCUGGAUCGAAUCCCCGAGCUGACAAGGACCUGAGCCCUAGGACCAUGCCUCAGGACUACCUGGUAUGAUGACUCCUUGCUGUCCCCAGUCCACCUGGCCGUGCUGCUGCUCCAGUUUCAACUGUUCUGCCUGCGGCUAUGGAACCCUGACCUGUUCACCGGACGUGCUUGUUGCACCCUCGACAACUACUAUGAUUAUUAUUAUUUGACCAUGCUGGUCAUUUAUGAACAUUUUAACAUUUUAACAUUUUGACCAUGUUCUGUUAUAAUAUCCACCCUGCACCCCUCAUAGCCUGGUUCCUCUCUAGGUUUCUUCCUAGGUUUUUGGCCUUUCUAGGGAGUUUUUCCUAGGGAGUUUUUCCUAGCCACCGUGCUUCUUUCACAUGCUUUGCUUGCUGUUUGGGGUUUUAGGCUGGGUUUCUGUACAGCACUUUGAGAAUAUCAGCUGAUGUACGAAGGGCUAUAUAAAAAUAAAUUUGAUUUGAUUUGAUUUGAUAUUUU
rnacentral:lncRNA from 1 species